UUGGAACACUGGUUCCUGUACAAUCACUGAAGUUAAGCAAUGUUGAGCUUGAGUAGUACUUACAUAGGUGACUGCUUGGAAAUACCAGUACUGUA